rnacentral:rRNA from 1 species
AAUCAACGCUGGCGGCGCGCCUAACACAUGCAAGUCGAACGAGAAAGCGGGAGUAAUCUCGCAAGCAAAGUGGCGUACGGGUGAGUAACACGUGGAUCAUCUGCCCUGGAGUGGGGAAUAACGCUGGGAAACCGGCGCUAAUACCGCAUAUUCCCGAGAGGGGAAAGCAGCAAUGCGCUCGAGGAGGAGUCCGCGGCCGAUUAGCUAGUUGGCAGGGUAAAAGCCUACCAAGGCUGUGAUCGGUAGCCGGCCUGAGAGGGCACACGGCCACACUGGCACUGAAACACGGGCCAGACUCCUACGGGAGGCAGCAGUGGGGAAUCUUGCACAAUGGGGGAAACCCUGAUGCAGCGACGCCGCGUGAGGGAUGAAGGCCUUCGGGUUGUAAACCUCUUUCAGCAGGGACGAAGCGAAAGUGACGGUACCUGCAGAAGAAGCACCGGCCAACUACGUGCCAGCAGCCGCGGUAAUACGUAGGGUGCAAGCGUUGUUCGGAUUUACUGGGCGUAAAGGGAGCGUAGGCGGUUUGGUAAGCCCUCCGGGAAAUCUUCGGGCUCAACCCGGAAAGUUCGGAGGGGACUGCCAGGCUAGAGGACGGGAGAGGAGCGCGGAAUUCCCGGUGUAGCGGUGAAAUGCGUAGAGAUCGGGAGGAAGGCCGGUGGCGAAGGCGGCGCUCUGGAACGUUCCUGACGCUGAGGCUCGAAAGCGUGGGGAGCAAACAGGAUUAGAUACCCUGGUAGUCCACGCCCUAAACGAUGGACACUAAGUGUCGGCGGGUUACCGCCGGUGCCGCAGCUAACGCAUUAAGUGUCCGCCUGGGGAGUACGGCCGCAAGGUUGAAACUCAAGGAAUUGACGGGGCCCGCACAAGCGGUGGAGCAUGUGGUUCAAUUCGACGCAGCGCGAAGAACGUUACCAGGCUGGACA